AUUUUACACCCUCCGUCCGAAAAUACUUGUCGUAGGAAUGGAUGUAUCUAGAACUAAAAUACAUCUAGAUACAUCUAUUCCUCGGACAAGUAUUUCCCGACGAAGGGAGUAUUUG
rfam:Triticum aestivum genome assembly, contig: Triticum_aestivum_CS42_TGACv1_scaffold_404948_5BL